rnacentral:rRNA from 1 species
CUGCAGUAUCCUGACUGUGCAAAGGUAGCAUAAUAAUUUGUCUUAUAAUUAAAGAAUGGAAUGAAUGGUUGGACAGGGGUAGUGCUGUCUCAUGUGUAUUUAUUAUAAGUUGAUUUUGAGGUUAAAAAGCCUGAAUUUGAUUAAGGGACGAGAAGACCCUAUUGAGCUUUGAAGAUUGCAUUAAAUGUAUUAUAUCAGUAAAUAAUAUAUAUUUUUAAGAUAUUUUAGUUGGGGCGACUAUGGUACAAAGGAAACUACCAGUAUAGGAAAGAUUGUUGAUUUUUGAUCCAAGUGUUUUGAAUGAAGAACAAGUUACCAUAGGGAUAACAGCAUAAUUUUUUUUGAGAGCUCUAAUCGAAAAAAAAGUUUGUGACCUCGAUGUUGGAUUAGGAAAUAAUAUAGGUUGUAAGGGCUUUAUAUAUAUAGUCUGUUCGACUAUUGGUAUCCUACAUGAUCUGAGUUCAAACCGGA